rnacentral:rRNA from 1 species
CACGGGGGGAGCAAGCGUUGUUCGGAAUCACUGGGCGUAAAGGGCUCGUAGGCGGUCUGUUGCGUCGGGAGUGAAAACUUACAGCUUAACUGUGAGCGUGCUUCCGAUACGGGCAGACUUGAGGUAUUCAGGGGAGAACGGAAUUCCUGGUGUAGCGGUGAAAUGCGCAGAUAUCAGGAGGAACACCGGUGGCGAAGGCGGUUCUCUGGGAAUAUCCUGACGCUGAGGAGCGAAAGUGUGGGGAGCGAACAGG